GCCUACUGUUGUACCAUCCUGAACAUACCUGAUCGCACCUGACUCUGGGAGCUAAGAAGAGUUGGGUCUGGUUAGUAUUUGGAUGGGAGAUCACCAGGGAAUACCAGGUGAUGUAGGCU
rnacentral:rRNA from 1 species